AUUGAACGCUGGCGGCAUGCCUUACACAUGCAAGUCGAACGGCAGCAUGAUCUAGCUUGCUAGAUUGAUGGCGAGUGGCGAACGGGUGAGUAAUACAUCGGAACGUGCCCUGUAGUGGGGGAUAACUAGUCGAAAGAUUAGCUAAUACCGCAUACGACCUGAGGGUGAAAGUGGGGGACCGCAAGGCCUCAUGCUAUAGGAGCGGCCGAUGUCUGAUUAGCUAGUUGGUGAGGUAAAGGCUCACCAAGGCGACGAUCAGUAGCUGGUCUGAGGGGACGAUCAGCCACACGGGGACUGGGACACGGCCCAGACUCCUACGGGAGGCAGCAGUGGGGAAUUUUGGACAAUGGGGGCAACCCUGAUCCAGCAAUGCCGCGUGUGUGAAGAAGGCCUUCGGGUUGUAAAGCACGUUUGUCCGGAAAGAAAUCGCACUUACUAAUAUUAGGUGUGGAUGACGGUACCGGAAGAAUAAGGACCGGCUAACUACGUGCCAGCCGCCGCGGUAAAAC
rnacentral:rRNA from 1 species